rnacentral:rRNA from 1 species
UACGUAGGUGGCAAGCGUUGUCCGGAAUUAUUGGGCGUAAAGCGCGCGCAGGUGGUUUCUUAAGUCUGAUGUGAAAUCCCUCAGCUCAACUGAGGACGUGCAUCCGAAACUGCAGGGCUUGAGUACUGAAGAGGAUCGCGGAAUUCCCGGUGUAGAGGUGAAAUUCGUAGAUAUCGGGAGGAACACCAGUGGCGAAGGCGGCGAUCUGGGCAGAUACUGACGCUGAGGUGCGAAAGCGUGGGGAGCAAACAGG